CUAUGAUGAACAAUCUAGAUGACGAGUCUUAUUCAGCACGCUGAUGCAGACAAACCUCAAAUUACCAUUCAUGCAUUUCCUGAGU
rnacentral:snoRNA from 1 species